rnacentral:rRNA from 2 species
GACGAACCGUGCGAACGUUGUUCGGAAUCACUGGGCUUAAAGGGCGCGUAGGCGGGCCACCAAGUCAGGGGUGAAAUCUUUCGGCUCAACCGGAAAAGUGCCUUUGAUACUGGUGGCCUCGAGGGAGGUAGGGGUCUGCGGAACUUCCGGUGGAGCGGUGAAAUGCGUAGAUAUCGGAAGGAACGCCGGUGGCGAAAGCGGCGGACUGGACCUCUUCUGACGCUGAGGCGCGAAAGCCAGGGGAGCAAACGGG